UUUUUGGUUUUUUUAAAUGGUGUGUGUGCACCUCCAUCCCAGAGAGAAGUUUGCUAUUUUUUUUAAAGAUUUAUUUAUUAUAUGUAAGUACACUGUAGCUUUCUUCAGACAUACCAGAAGAGGGUGUCAGAGCUCAUUAUGGAUGGUUGUGAGCCACCAUGUGGUUGCUGGGAAUUGAACUCAGGACCUUCGGAAGAGCAGUCAGUGCUCUUACCCGCUGAGCCAUCCAUCUCACCAGCCCCGAGGUUCAAGUUUUGACUCUCAGGCUGGAUUACCACAAGUGGAGACCAGGCAAAGCAGGGACUCUUGCCCAAAGUUCAUUAAUUCACAUUGUGUGAACUUUUGAGUAUCUGUGUGUCUAGGGCUCAGCUGUGGUGGAAACGGUAGUCGAGGCCCAUUCUUCCUUAGAUCCUACUGAGGAAGGUGGCACAUGAACUGUAAGGGAAAGCUCUGGCCAUGCGAGGAACACUGACUGGGGGAAGGCAGGCGUGCAUUCAUGGGGUGAUGAGUCUUAACCAGGGCCUAUGGACAUCUUAACACCAUGUUUAAGCAAAAACCUAAAGACCAGGAAUCAGUCUGUGAAGGCACAAUAACGCCAGGUCCGUUAUCCCAGCACCGUGGAGGCUAAGGCAGGUUUGUGUUGAGUUUCAUGCUAGCCUAAGCAUCACAAAAACACAGAGUCUGGGACAAUCAAGACAACAGUUUGGAGUUCAGGUUGUUCUCAGGCCUGAGAAUUAAGGCUUAGAACUUUGGAAGGGGUAGUCUUUGUCUAGUCAACCCUGCUAGUCUGUCUGCCCCUUUCUGUAGUGAUUCAGGUUUCUAGUCAGCACUACUGAAAACAAAGCAUGCUUGUGGCCGCCUCUGCUCAGGCCUUGUGUCAUGAUUCUUGUUCCACCCCUGGUUGAUGUAGACCCAACCUAGUAGUUCAGGAUGCAGAGUUCUGGGGCUUCCCUCUCCUCGUACAGCUCCCAGCGGCCCUUGCUCGGGGUGGGAGGUGCUCCUCUGUAGAGUGGUAGGUAAGGCCUACCUUGUCUCUCUCUCCACAGUCCUGAAGGGGAAGAAGCUGAGCUUGCCGGCAUAACCCUGGCCUCACCAGCCUUCUCUGAGGCAGGGCAGGAGGCAGAGGAAGGCUGCUGGAGCCCGAGAGCCUUCCAUCCAGAGCUGACUUUGUAAAGAGCUCGCCUCUCCUGGCUCCCCACCCCUCCAGCUGGGUUUUGGGGUCUAUGGACGACCCUGCUCCUGGGGAGCUCAGGACCUGAGCUGUUUGUAGCCUUUUGCCUUUUAGAGAAGAAAAACAAAAAACAAAUCUUUCCACUAUUU
rnacentral:lncRNA from 1 species